AAAUAAGCUUUGAGAAAGAGGAGUAACAACCCAUAGUACUUUUCAGAGAGCUGAUGGUGGUGUGAAUCAGUAGGGAAUGAGUUGUGAAUGGACUUUCGAGCGAGAUGCUGAAAUGGUAGUAGGUAUUUUCGGGAACUCCCGUUACAGAGUAAGGUCGUUGAUUGACGACUGAUAAGAGGAAAGAAUUUCUUUCAAAUUUGAGGUGGCACCGUGAAUAUUUCGCCCUCAAA
rnacentral:ncRNA from 1 species